GUCGCCAUAUUGGUACCGGUGCUCUCCCGUCCGUGCGUUCCUCCCUCAUUGCAUCGUAGUAACUUGAGAAAACUGUAGUGGUACUCUUGUCUCAGGUUAUUUUCACGGAGCUCCUUAAUCGGUACCUCAGGUAUAUACAGACGCAUACCUAUCAUUUUUUUAAUCAUUUUGUUGGAGGAAGAACGAAGCUUGAAGGCGGAGGGUUUGUAGUCACGGCUACAAAGCACACACUAGGAUACCCCGCUGAUAAGAGGAUCAGCUUUUGUGGAUCAUUAUAUCAGCUACGCCAUUGCAAGAGGGGGCAUAUGUGACUACAAAGAUUAGCCCAGACAUUGCAUUAUCGCCGAAAAUACACAAGGAUGAACUUUUUUCGGCCGUUCACUGACUCCUCGCCUCUCAUCAACCAUGUAGAUGUUUUUGUGAACGCUACAGAGGGCCCAUAUAAACGUUUGUAUGUAUAAUUUAAAUUAUCCAUUCAGAUAAUUCUAAGAAUAAUCUCUUAAAUAAGAAUUCUGCGGAAAAAUGUAUAGAUGUUUUAUAUUUCACUAUUGCAUUACGAUAGGUACUAAUGCAUAUUGGAUUAAUCUUUCGCAAUUCAUUAUAAACCAUGUAUAGUACGUCAUACCGUACUUUUUCCUGUUAAUAACAAUAAUUUUUAAUCGUGUGACUUUACUGAUAAUUCAAGUUUCCAAAUGUCUUCUUUCAAAACAAAAAUUUACCUUGAAAUUAUCAUAAAUCAUAUAAAUGAUUAAAACAAAGCUUUCUAGCUCCGUUCAAAAUAUUUUUAUUUAGAAAUACACAUUCUAAAAAUAUAUGUAUUAUGCGAAACACAUUGACGCAACUUGCUAACGAACCUCGACUCUAUUUAUUACGAGAGAAAAGGAAAUGUAUAAAAAAAUGUAUCAUGUCGCAUACAUUUAUUCGUAGAACCGUCAAAUAUGUUUAUAAUAUACACCAUUGUUGCUAUAUAUUUAAUCAUAUAGUUGUAUUAUGUUACAUUAUUCUAAUAAUUUUUACCGCUCUCACGCGAUAUAUUUUAUGUUAUAUCAAAGAAAUAUCCGCUCGUUUAGAAUAUUUUGUGCUUCUAUGUAGUUUUAUAGCUGAAAUAUAAGUACACUUAUACGUAAUCUUACAUAAGAAAAAAAAUCCCCUAUACAUAUAUAUACAGAUACAAUAUCAUUUGUAAUUUGGUAUUUUCUUACAUGUUGACACAAGAUUUAUUAGUAAAAUCUUCUUUGGUAAAAAAAAGUUGAAUAAAAAUAGCAUAAAGUAAAGAAAAAAAUGAUUUUUCUUUCAAAGAGAAAAUCUGUGUCCCCUUGGAAAUUUUGCGUAUCAAAAAAGCUACGAUUUUCCGAAAAAUUCUAAAGUCCUAAAAUAUCCUAAAACUCUUAUUUACAAGAGCAUUUAUAACUGCUUUCAUAGUUUCACAUAUUCAUAAAAGAUAUAUAACUUCCAAUUUUGCAUAUCACAAUACGCACAGGAAAGUAAGAGCAGCGAGAUCGUUUGUCUCGCUGGUUAAAAAGUAAAAAGUGUAGGAUCGAAUCCAAGUAUUUUACUCGACAGGCAUUUACUUUGCUAUUAAGUUAUGUUUCAUGUACUUAUUGCCUGUCUUUCUGAAACAAAACCGGUGGCGAUCGUGGCGCAGAGGAUUGUGCGCUGGUCUGGUAAUCCGAAGAUCCAGGUUCAAAACCAAACA